ACGCACGCUGGCGGCGUGCCUCCUACAUGCAAGUAGCACGCUGAAGCUUGGUGCUUGCACCGAGCGGAUGAGUUGCGAACGGGUGAGUUACGCGUAGGUGACCUGCCUGGUAGCGGGGGAUGACUAUUGGAAACGAUAGCUGAUACCGCAUAACAGUAGAUAUCGCAUGAUAUGUGCUUGAAAGGUGCAAUUGCAUCACUACCAGAUGGACCUGCGUUGUAUUAGCUAGUUGGUGAGGUAACGGCUCACCAAGGCAACGAUACAUAGCCGACCUGAGAGGGUGAUCGGCCACACUGGGACUGAGACACGGCCCAGACUCCUACGGGAGGCAGCAGUAGGGAAUCUUCGGCAAUGGACGGAAGUCUGACCGAGCAACGCCGCGUGAAGGUGGAAAGGAAGGGUUUUUUUCGGGAUUCGUUAGAGGCUCUUGUUGUAAGAGAAGGACGAGGUUGAGAGGGAA
rnacentral:rRNA from 1 species